rnacentral:lncRNA from 1 species
UUUCGGGGAAGGUAAGGGAGGCAUUGUGGGAGUGGCUGGGGACCGUGGGACAGUGUGUUGGGCAGUGAGUGGGCGUGAGUGUGGUUACUAGCCUGGUGGCCCUGAUUACUAUCUUGGCAAGCCCUGUGGACCCUGAGAGUAGAGAGCAGAUUGUGUUGGCUGGAGAGGCUGUCAGUUAGUUUGGCUUUCUAACCCUUUUCUUGAUUUAGCUGCUGUAGGCCACUAAAUGGCCCACAGGGAAAGGAUCCCAGGAUGGUCAGGUUCAGAGUGAGGGCAGGACCAGAUGAGCACUGCUUACCAGUGAGUUCUAGCAAGAAAGUCACAGGGCUUCAGCUAUUCAAGCCCUUUUACGUGGUUGCUGCAGAGCUGAACUUGGGCUCUCCCUGCUCAGCUCCCGCACCUGCUUCAGUGGUGAGAGGUGGGGUCCCAGGGUCUUGGGCUCAGCUGGGUCAUCACCCUGUGACAGUGGUGAAGUGGCUGUCCUCAGGAGGAGCAGAGAGGCCUGGGGACAGAGCCAAGCAUGUUAGCACUUUUUCUUUGCUGCUUUUGUUUGCUCGGGACAGGGCUUCUCUGUGCGGCCCUGGCUGUCCUGGAACUCACUCUAUAGACCAGGCUGGCCUCAAACUCACAGGGAACCACUGGGAUUGAAGGUGUGUGCCACCACCACCACCUGGCGAGUUUCCGUUCUUACGGAUAAUUGUCAGUGAAGUACCAAAUGGCCUCAUUUUGAAUGGAUGAAUGAAUGAAUGAAUGAAUGAAUGAAUGAAGGUUAUGAUG